rnacentral:lncRNA from 1 species
CUCCCAUGCGAUCGCCUAGUUCGACUUCAAGGGAGCUGAUCUUGGAAGCCUGAGCUCAAGAUUGAUCGCUGGCACAUUUUCGAAGUUCCUCGACCUCCGUAACGAAGUCGGCCUUCUUCCAGAUGAAUUCCAUGAGCCCCUUUUUGUGGAGGUCCUGAAGACGAACAGCCUCCGCAGUGACUUCCGAAUGGCUUUUCCUCAGCCGGUGAAGUUCAUCUUCCAGCUUCUUGGAUUUCUUCGUCAAUUGACGAACUUUCCUUCUGAGGUCUCGGAUCGUCGACUUUAGAGGAAUCCCCUGUGGCAGGGGGAGAGCUUUGGUAGGCCACUAUCUUUGGGAGACA